UUGCUGGCUGGCUGGCUGGCUAGUUAGCUAGCUAGCUAGCUUUCUAGAAGGCUCAUUUCUCAGUUCAGCAUCACCUGUAUUAGAGAAAAGAAUCACUUCAUCUGGUGUUUUAAGUGAAUAAAAUAGCUUUACCAGCCUACUUACUGGAGUUCUACAACUACACAUAUCCUCUACAAGUAUAAUUUUGUAUAUGUUUUAUGUG